rnacentral:rRNA from 1 species
UACGGGGGGAGCAAGCGUUGUUCGGAUUUACUGGGCGUAAAGGGCGCGUAGGCGGCCACCGCAAGUCGACUGUGAAAUCUCCGGGCUUAACCCGGAAAGGUCAGCCGAUACUGCGGGGCUAGAGUGCAGAAGGGGCAACUGGAAUUCUCGGUGUAGCGGUGAAAUGCGUAGAUAUCAAGAGGAACACCGGUGGCGAAGGCGGGUCUCUGGGCCGAUACUGACGCUGAGGAGCGAAAGCGUGGGGAGCGAACAGG